rnacentral:rRNA from 1 species
AUUGAACGCUGGCGGCAGGCUUAACACAUGCAAGUCGAGCGGAGAUGAGGUGCUUGCACCUUAUCUUAGCGGCGGACGGGUGAGUAAUGCUUAGGAAUCUGCCUAUUAGUGGGGGACAACAUUCCGAAAGGAAUGCUAAUACCGCAUACGCCCUACGGGGGAAAGCAGGGGAUCUUCGGACCUUGCGCUAAUAGAUGAGCAUAAGUCGGAUUAGCUAGUUGGUGGGGUAAAGGCCUACCAAGGCGACGAUCUGUAGCGGGUCUGAGAGGAUGAUCCGCCACACUGGGACUGAGACACGGCCCAGACUCCUACGGGAGGCAGCAGUGGGGAAUAUUGGACAAUGGGCGGAAGCCUGAUCCAGCCAUGCCGCGUGUGUGAAGAAGGCCUUUUGGUUGUAAAGCACUUUAAGCGAGGAGGAGGCUACCUGGAUUAAUACUCUAGGAUAGUGGACGUUACUCGCAGAAUAAGCACCGGCUAACUCUGUGCCAGCCGCCGCUGUAAGAC